rnacentral:rRNA from 1 species
AUUGAACGCUGGCGGCAUGCCUUACACAUGCAAGUCGAACGGCAGCACGGGUGCUUGCCCCUGGUGGCGAGUGGCGAACGGGUGAGUAAUACAUCGGAACAUGUCCUGUAGUGGGGGAUAGCCCGGCGAAAGCCGGAUUAAUACCGCAUACGAUCUACGGAUGAAAGCGGGGGACCUGCGGGCCUCGCGCUAUGGGGUUGGCCGAUGGCUGAUUAGCUAGUUGGUGGGGUAAAGGCCUACCAAGGCGACGAUCAGUAGCUGGUCUGAGAGGACGACCAGCCACACUGGGACUGAGACACGGCCCAGACUCCUACGGGAGGCAGCAGUGGGGAAUUUUGGACAAUGGGCGAAAGCCUGAUCCAGCAAUGCCGCGUGUGUGAAGAAGGCCUUCGGGUUGUAAAGCACUUUUGUCCGGAAAGAAAUCCUUGGCCCUAAUACGGUCGGGGGAUGACGGUACCGGAAGAAUAAGCACCGGCUAACUACGUG